rnacentral:rRNA from 1 species
AUUGAACGCUGGCGGCAGGCCUAACACAUGCAAGUCGAGCGGGGUUUUCGGACCUAGCGGCGGACGGGUGAGUAAUGCGUAGGAAGCUACCCGAUAGAGGGGGAUACCAGUUGGAAACGACUGUUAAUACCGCAUAAUGUCUACGGACCAAAGUGUGGGACCUUCGGGCCACGUGCUAUCGGAUGCGCCUACGUGGGAUUAGCUAGUUGGUGGGGUAAUGGCUCACCAAGGCGACGAUCCCUAGCUGGUUCGAGAGGAUGAUCAGCCACACUGGAACUGAGACACGGUCCAGACUCCUACGGGAGGCAGCAGUGGGGAAUAUUGGACAACGGGCGCAAGCCUGAUCCAGCCAUGCCGCGUGUGUGAAGAAGGCCUUCGGGUUGUAAAGCACUUUCAGUAGGGAGGAAGGGUGUUGUGUUAAUAGCACAGCAUUUUGACGUUACCUACAGAAGAAGCACCGGCUAACUCUGUGCCAGCCGCCGCCGUAAUAC